CACCAGAUGUGCUUUUUUUAUUAGCGGCUAGUAUUUUAUUUAAGUGAAAACUUUAUUAAGGAUCUUAGGGUAGAGGGGAUUAGGCACAGUGCCAGCAUCCGCGGUUAUUCUGUUUUCUCUGCUUUUUUAUGGUUUAUCUUAAAGUUAAUUAUAUUUAAAGUUAGGUGAAAUUUUUUUAUUAUUAUUACAAAUAACUUUAUGAGUAACAAGUAGCUAUUUUGUGAAAGGGAUUAGAUACCCCCGUAACUGGCUAUGUAAUAUUACUUAGUUUUAUAACUAAAAUAGUUUGGCAGUGAGUUAUUCCUAUCAGGGGAAGGUGUGUUAUAAAGGACGAUCCGCCCAUUAAUUUACCUUAACUAUGUUGGUGUAUAUCUGGUUUAAUAUUAUUGCUUAGUUGCGUGAAUUUGUGUAUAAAUUUUUAAGCUAAGUCUAUGUGCUGCAUGUUAAGGUUUUCAUGCGUUACCCUUAUAAUGAUUGCCGUGUAAUAGGUUGUUAUUUAGGACUUGAUAGUAAUUCUAAAUAAAUUUGUUAGUGUGAAAGUGGUUUAACUCAGGUACACACCGCCCGUCACCCUCGAUUAUUUUGAGGUAAGUCGUAACAAGGUAGCCCCAGAUGAAUCUGGGGCUAAUUGCCAU
rnacentral:ncRNA from 1 species